rnacentral:rRNA from 1 species
AGGAUGAACGCUGGCGGCGUGCUUAACACAUGCAAGUCGAACGGUGAAGUGAGGAGCUUGCUCCUUGCGGAUCAGUGGCGAACGGGUGAGUAACACGUGAGUAACCUGCCCUUGACUCUGGGAUAAGCGUUGGAAACGACGUCUAAUACCGGAUACGACCUCCGAAGGCAUCUUCUGGAGGUGGAAAGAAUUUCGGUCAAGGAUGGACUCGCGGCCUAUCAGCUAGUUGGUGAGGUAAUGGCCCACCAAGGCGACGACGGGUA